rnacentral:rRNA from 1 species
GACGAACGCUGGCGGCGUGCUUAACACAUGCAAGUCGAGCGGUAAGGCCCUUUCGGGGGUACACGAGCGGCGAACGGGUGAGUAACACGUGGGUGACCUGCCCUCAGCUCUGGGAUAAGCCUGGGAAACUGGGUCUAAUACCGGAUAUGACUCCAUGACGCAUGUUGUGGGGUGGAAAGCCUUGUGCGGCUGAGGAUGGGCCCGCGGCCUAUCAGCUUGUUGGUGGGGUGANGGCCUACCAAGGCGACGACGGGUAGCCGGCCUGAGAGGGCGACCGGCCACACUGGGACUGAGACACGGCCCAGACUCCUACGGGAGGCAGCAGUGGGGAAUCUUGCGCAAUGGGCGAAAGCCUGACGCAGCGACGCCGCGUGAGGGAUGACGGCCUCGGUGU